GGCCAGUUAGCUAAGAGGGUUGAGCUCAGUGCUGAUAACACCGAGAUCACGGGUUUGAUUCCCAUUCGGUCCG
rnacentral:tRNA from 1 species